AUUGAACGCUGGCGGCAUGCCUUACACAUGCAAGUCGAACGGUAACAGGUCUUCGGAUGCUGACGAGUGGCGAACGGGUGAGUAAUACAUCGGAACGUGCCCGAGAGAGGGGGAUAACGGAGCGAAAGCUUUGCUAAUACCGCAUACGAUCUACGGAUGAAAGCAGGGGACCGCAAGGCCUUGCGCUCAUGGAGCGGCCGAUGGCAGAUUAGGUAGUUGGUGGGAUAAAAGCUUACCAAGCCGACGAUCUGUAGCUGGUCUGAGAGGACGACCAGCCACACUGGGACGGAGACACGGCCCAGACUCCUACGGGAGGCAGCAGUGGGGAAUUUUGGACAAUGGGAGCAAGCCUGAUUCAGCCAUGCCGCGGGCAGGAUGAAGGCCUUCGGGUUGUAAACUGCUUUUGUACGGAACGAAAAGCCUCGGGCUAAUAUCCUGGGGUCUUGACGGUACCGUAAGAAUAAGGAUCGGCUAACUCCGUGCCAGCAGCCGCCGUAACAC
rnacentral:rRNA from 1 species